CCCGCAGCCAAUCAGGGCGCGCGCCGCUUAAAGGGGCGAUGCCGUGGCCGAGGCGUUGCGCCGGGCCCACCGUGGCGUAUCGCGGCGCUGCAGGGAGCCGGCUUUGUCUCCCGGAGAGGCGUCUCCGGGCUGACCGCGGCCGCAGCUCCGCUCCUCUGCCUGAGCCGUGCGGCAGCCCUGGGAGCCUCUCAACGCCGAGCUUUCCUCAGAAGCCCGCGGCGACCCGGGCCUCGGCCGCUGUUCCUGCCCGAACUGAGGGCACAUCGCGCUUCGCGCGGGAUUUCCCAUAAAUUCAGGCUCCGGGCAAGAUUGUGUGUUUUUUCCUCUCCGCGGGCCGCCGCUGGCCGUGUGGGCCGAAGAAGCCCUGGAGGGGGAGAGGGGAGCCGCUCUCGACUGGGCUUGCGGCGUGGGAGGGACAGUGAGGGACACUUAGGGACUGUGUGGGGCAGUGAAGGAUAGUGUGGGAUGAUGAGGGACCGUGUGGACCGGUGAGCGACUGUGUGGGACAGUGCGGGACGAUGAGAGACGGUGUGGGACGGUGAGGGACAGUGCGGGACGAUGAGGGACAGUGAGGGACUGUGUAGGACAGUGAGGGACAGUGUGGGACGGUGAGGGACUGUGGGACAGUGAGGGACUUUGGGACUGUGAGGGACUCGGACAGUGAAGGAUGGCAAGGGACAGUGUGGGACAGUAUGGGACAGUGGACAGUGAGGCACUGUGAGGGGCGGUGAGGGACAAUGAAGGAUGUCAAGGGACAGUGUGGGACAGUGGACGGUGAGGUACUGUGAGGGGCGGUGAGGGACAGUGUGGGACUGUGAGGGAUGGCGAGGGACAGAGUAGGACAGCAAGGGAGGAUGAGGGGACAGAGUGGGCCGGCGUGGGGCGGUGAGGCUACGCGGGGGGAACCCAGGGCUCCUCUGACUGCGUUGGAAUAUGGAGGAAAGGUCCUGCUCGAGGUUGAGCCCUUCAGGGUCGCUGUGGGUUUCCAGGAGGAGCUCCCUCACUACUGACUUAGGGGGCCCUCGGCUUCCCAGGUUUGUGUUUACUCAGGCGACCUGAGCUGGCCCCGACGUCUUUUGGCUUUGGAGAGGCCACGGAUGCCCAAGGACAAAGCCCCAGCGGGCCUGUGGGAGGAGGUUUCUCGGGGCGCCAGUGAUGCAACUUAGGCUUAUAGUUUAACCGUAAAAUAAAUAAUACAAAUGAUAACAAACCAAGAGUGACUAAAGUCAGAAAAAAAGCAAACAGACGGAAACCCUCUAGUUUUAACUAGAACAAAUUCCCUGGCUGGUCCUCUGUUGGGAGAGCCCAGAGACCUGUCGCUGACCUCUAGCCUCCUGGAGCCCCUGCUUGCACUUCAGCAAUAAUGCCUGAUAGUUAGACACUGAUCACUAGCUAAUUGGGGUAGUUUAACAUAUGGAAUGAGAUUCUGGCCUUAUUAUCAGGUUAACUAUUAACUCUACACCCCAUGAAAUGAUUUGCCUUUCCCCCACUAUUAUUUACUUACAUUCUUUUUAAUUUAAUUCAAAGGCCUAAUUUUGAAUUCAAGGCCUUAAGCACGAAAAGGAAAAAAAAAAGAAAAAGAAUCUGAAGUAUCUUUGCCCUCUCUCACUUGCAAAACAAACGAACGUUUUGCAGAGAGAAAUCUGGCUUCCUUUCUGAUGGCUCUUCUGGCUUACAAGGGGCUGUUGGGUCAUUUUCAUGCCUAUGCCAUUUGUCAACAAUUCAGUUAACCUAUCUUCUUACAGCCAUUCAUUUAGUAUUAUUUUAGGAUGAUGGAAAUGAGUCACAACUAAUUGCAGAGUUCCUUACCAACUAACUAGGUUUUUUGAUCCAAAGAAAAUCUGUCCCGAUUUUCCUCCCAUUUUGGCGUCAUUUAUGUUUGUGGCUUACCCAUAUGCUGUUAUCAGUGUAAAAAAAAGAUGAGUGUGAGAACUUGCCAGGGUACAUCUUUUCAAACCUCACGGGACAGGAUUUACUGAAUGGGCACCUAAAGGAGCUCAAGUUUCAUCUGAAAGGAGCCCUGGCUAUACUAUUUCAAGUCACUACAAUACAGUUGUAAUUUGUGCUUCGGCCUUAUUGGCGUGCUUUUACAUUCCCCUAUUCAUAAAACAGUGAUAAUCACCAGAGCAACCAUCAAACACACCCCUUCUUUAGAGAAAGAAGAUCAACAGGAUACUCACUCUACAGUUGUGAGCUGUAUGAUGUGCUAAUGUUUUGGUAAAUUAUCAAAAAUCAUAAAAUCCCAUGAGUAAUAUGUGAUUAAUCUGAUUUUUCUAUUUUAAACAACUUGCAAAAUAAACUUGAUUUAUUCAUUUUUUGGGGAAAACCUGUUUAGCCACUAGUUUGCUGUGUUUAGCUUGCAGUUAUAUAAUAUGGCUUUCUCAGCUGUGGAAGAAUUACAUGAGAAGACUUACACCCCACAAAUUUUUUAUCUAAUAGUCUGUUAAUGAUGUGUUAUAAUAACAUUGAUAUGUCAAUAAUAUUGUAGGACAUCUUGGGAAGAGUUUAAAAGCAAAACGCUAAGCAUCUUGAAGUAAUACUAGCAUGUUGUGUUUAUUAAGUGAUUAUUCAUUGACCUUUAAUAGAUUAGAACACUACACCAGAGAUUCGGGGAAAUAGUCUCUUUUUCCUGAACCCAAUUUGUUUUAAAUUAUCUCCAGAAAAGCAUGACAUUUAAAGUAAGACAGUGUUUUUUAUAUCUCUCACAGUCUGCUUAAUUUUGAGGCCAUUUUCCAAGGAAUUUAUAUUAGUUGAUUUUUUUAAUAGAACUCAACAUCUAAAACGUUAGACUUGCAUCACAUUGACCCAAAUUGUCACUUUUCACUUGCCCUUCUUUCAGUGUAAGAAGAAGCUGUCUUUGGAGUGAGAACAAGGGUGAGGUUCUGGCUCAGAAACCUUAGAAUCACAGACACUGUUUUCCUGAAAACAUUGCUUCUUUCUCUCAUCUCAAAGAAAUGCCACAAGUCGUGUGUUUCCCCACUGCGAGCCCUUCGAGAACAAUGUCAUGUUGAUCGAUGGCAGUGACUCACACCAGAUCUUUCCAUGCCUCCUCUGCAAGGACUCAAGAGAGUCGAGAGCAAAACCGUGCCAUAGUUCCAUAAGGAGGGCAAAGAGCUUUAUCCACGCUGAGGAACAGGCGGAUCAUGCGGCUACAGCACUGGUCUUUACCUUUUAACUGCUUGAUUCGAAACAUUCCAGCCAGGAACAGUGGCUCACACCUGUAAUCCCAGCACUUUGUGGGGCCAAGGCAGGUGGAUUGCUCGAGCUCAGGAGUUCGAAACCAGCCUGGGCAACCUGGCAAAACCUCAUCUCUACAAAAAAAUACAAAAAUUAGCCAGGCCUGGUGUGUGUGCCUGUGGUUCCAGCCACUCGGCAGGCUGCGGCCAGAGGAUCACUUGAGCCCAGGAAGUGGAGGCUGCAGUGAGCUGAGAUCGUGCCGCCACACUCCAGCCUGGGUGACAGAGCCAGACAUUGUCUCUAAAAAAAAAAAAAAAAGAAAAGAAAAGAAAGAAAAAAGAGAAAUAGUCCAAGACUAGGGAGAAAACCUUCUUUGGGGUCAGUGUGAACCAUUCUUUCAUUUGUUCAGCAAAUGCUUACUGAGGAGCUACUGUGUCCCUGAAAUUGCCUCCACCUCCAAGAAGACAGUGGUGAGCAAGUCAGACAAUACCUCUAAUCUCAUGGUAUUUAUAAGUAAAUGGGCCGUUAAAAUUACCAGAUCAGAAGUGCUGUGUUCAGCAAAUAGAGGCUCAUGGGAAACUCCUAAGAAGGGCUUCUGAGCUGGACUUGGGGGUCAGGAAAGGCAGAAUGAGGGGGCUGACUCAUCCAGACUGGGGCGGGGUUGCCGGGGGUGCCUCCCACUUACUAUCUGUCUCCUUCUAGACUGACUUCUCUGUCAUCAUGAAUACACCCCUUUAAGACAUACAUUUAAGAGAAAAUAAGAGGAUGCCUUAUUUAUUUAAAGGUUUGUUACAGUUUUACUAACAACCACAUACCUAAAGGAAAGUCGCAAGUAGAGCUCAAAAACUUUUUUCUCUGGGGCAGUGAAGAGUCAGUUGCCAGCCAGAAGGCCCACUGAGCCUGAGCACUUCAGGGUGUGCUUCCUACAGAUAAGGACAUCCUCCUGCAUAACAGGAAAGGGGUCCUGAUCCAGACCCCAAGAGAGGGUUCUUGGAUCUCGCACAAGAAAGAAUUCCGGGUGAGUCUGUAAAGCGAAAGCCAGUUUAUUAAGUAAAGGAGUAAAAGAAUGGCUAUUCCAUAGACAGAGCAGCCCUGAGGGCUGCUGAUUGCCCAGUUUUAUGGCUGUUUCUUGAUGAUAUGCUAAACAAGGGGUGGAUUACUCAUGCCUCCCCCUUUUAGACCGUAGAGGGCAAGUCCUGAUGUUGCCAUGGCGUUUGUAAACUGUCAUGGAGCUGGUGGGAGUGAAGCAGUGAGGAUGACCAGAGGUCACUCUCGGCACCAUCUUGGUUUUUGGUGGGUUUUAGCCAGCUUCUUUACUGCAACCUGUUUUUUCAGCAAUAUCUUUAUGACCUGUAUCUUGUGCCGACCUCCUAUCUCAUCCUGUAAAUUAGAAUGCCAUUACCAUCUGGGAAUGCAGCCCAGUAGGUCUCAGCCUUAUUUUACUCAGCUCCUAUUUAAGAUGGAGUCGCUCUGGUUCGAACGGCUCUGAUAUAACUGCUGCUCAGCCAUUGACGUCGGGAAGGUAGCACAGGCUCAUUGCCACCACUGAACCCUCAGACCCCACCCAAGUGUUGCCAGUUGUUCCAAUAAUGUCCUUUAUGGUGAAAGGACCAGAUCCAUGGUCACAUAUUGCAUUGAAUUGUCACGUCUUCUUCUUUAGUCUUCCCUCGACCUACAUGACCUUGCCAUUUUUGGAGAUAAUAGUUUAACAGUCCAGUGGGUUCACCUUGCCCGCUGCCUAGACAGAGCUGGUUGAUCAUGACAGGGGAGUUGCAAUGGACAAUGGAGAAAGCGUAAUUCACACAGAGUCGACUGUGUGGGAGACCAGAGUUUUGUUAAUACUCAAAUCAGUCUCCCUGAGCAUUUGGCGAUUAAAGUUUUUAAAGAUAAUUUGGUGGGUAGGGGCUUGGGAAGUGGAGAGUGCAAUGGAGAUGGAAUCACAGGGGGUCGAAGUGAGUUUUUCUUGCUGUUUUCUGUUCUUGGGUGGGAUGGCAGAACUGGUUGAGCCAGAUUACUGGUCUGGGUGGUGGUAGCUGGUCCACUGAGUGCAGGGUUUGCAAAAUAUCUCAAGCACUGAUCUUAGGUCUUACAAUAGUGAUGUUAUUGCCAGGAGCAAUUUGGGGAGGUUCAGACUCUUGGAGUCAGAGGCUGCAUGACCCCUAAACUGUAAUUUCUUGUUUUGUUUGUUUGUUUUGUUAUUGUUGUUUGGUUUUUUUUGAGACGGAGUUUCACUCUUGUUGCCCAGGCUGGAGUGCAAUGGCAUGAUCUCAGCUCACCGCAACCUCCACCUCCCAGGUUCAAGCAAUUCUCCUGCCUCAGCCUCCCAAGUAACUGAGAUUACAGGCAUGUGCCACCACGCCCGGCUAAUUUUGUAUUUUUAGUAGAGAUGGGGUUUCUCCAUGUUGGUCAGGCUGGUCUUGAACUCCUGACCUCAGGUGAUCUGCCUGCCUUGGCCUCCCAACGUGCUGGGAUUACAGGCAUGAGCCACUGCGCCUGGCCAGUAAUUUCUAAUCUUGUAGCUAAUUUGUUAGUCCUGCAAAGGCUGAGUGGUCCCAGGCAAGAAGGGGGUCUUUUUGGGAAAGGGGUUUUAUCAAUUUUGUUUCAGAGUCCAACCACGAAUUGAAUUCCUUCCCAAAGUUAGUUUGGCCUAUGCCCAGGGAUGAACAAGGACAGCUUAAAGGUUAGAAGCAAGAUGGAGUUGGUUAGAUCUGAUUUCUUCCAGUGUCAUAAUUUCCUGAGUUAUAAUUUUGCAAAGGUGGUUUCAAUAGGACACUUGCUUUGUAGCCUGCACUUUGGUUUUCAUUUCUCUGAUGUGCCCUCACGGUUAGGGCCAAGUGAUGCAUCUUUAGUGGGAAUAGCUCAGGAGUAGUGCGGUCUUCUUAUUGUAUUAUAACACAUGCGGUGGCAUUUGUUGGCUCAGCUUCUACACUGUAAAGUUGCUCUUUUUGCCUCUUAAUGAAUAUGUAUCUUGAGGGAGAUACUAAAAAAAAUCCCUUUCCUCAUCAAAUUCUGCAUGUGUUCAGUAUGGAUUCAUGGCUUUCUAUUUUAUCCACUAGGUUAUAAUCUGUUGCCAUCUUUAUUUUAAUACUCAAAUUCUCCCAUAUUCAGUGACCACCUCAAGCUGACUUCUGUAUCCUUUUGACACAUCUCAGUCAUUCUUUGAGCACUUCCUUUUUUGCUGAGAUGGGUACAUGUUCUAGGCCCACCCUGUGCUUCCCCUGUCUAGUCUGGAAUCAGCCGUUUCUCAAAGGAGCUUUUGGUGGAGAAUGGUGUUUAGAAACCAAGAUCUGGAUAGCAGGUGUGCUCGCUGUGAUUGGGCUAUUGCUGCUCCCAAUCCUCUAGAUAGCCAGAACAACAACAUAAAAACAUGUAUGUUUGGCUGGGCACGGUGGCCGAUGCCUGUAAUCCCAGCACUUUGGGAGGUUGAGGUGGGUGGAUCACCUCAGGUCAGUUUGAGACCAGGCUGACCAACAUGGUGAAACCUUGUCUCUACUAAAAAUACAAAAAAAUCAGCAGGGUGUGGUGGUGCAUGCCUGUAAUCCCAGCUACUUGGGAGGCUGAGGCAAGAGAAUCGCUUGAACCCGGGAGGUGGAGGUUGCAGUGAGCCAAGAUCAUGCCACUGCACUCCAGCCUGGGCGACAGAGUGAGACUCUGUCCCCGAAAAAAAAAAGAAAAGUAUGUUUAUUUCUGUAUGUUUUUACUCACACCAAAAUACCUUCAAUUCCAGCCCAGUACCACAGGACUUAUUCUAGUUUUCUCUCUUUUCAUAUUUGUAUCUCCUUUCUCUGACAGUGAGACCAUGGCUCCCAUUAUUCUAAGUAUACUGACUUAUUUGACUAAUCCCCUGUAGAUGAUCAGUCUCUCCUGCCUUCUCCCCCACCACAUGUGGACACCCUCCUCACCCUGCCUGGCCCUGACACCCCGUGCUGGGUCUUCAACAUGCACAGAGGCCCUCCUGACCCCACUCGGGCUCUGAUCUUCCACACCAGACCACCCCUUCACACGGGCCCCCUCCUCCCACAUUUGGGCUCCGAGUCCCCAGGCUGAGCUGCCCUUUACCUUGCUUGAACUCUGACACCCCAUGCCAGGUCUCGGCCUUGCGAGGACACCUUUCUCACCUUAUGCUGGAGCUCCCUGGCACAGACUGCCUUGCACUGUGCUGGACUUUGCCUGCUGCCUGGAUGCACUCCUCACCAUGCCUGGGCCCUGAAAUCCCACUGCAGGCCAUUCUCACACAUGGAUGCUUUCCCUACCCUGCUUGGGCCCUCACUCCCAUGCUGACUCCCUCUCCCCCAUUGUAUUAAUCCAUUUUCAUGCUGCUGAUAAAGAUAUACCUGAGGCCAGGCGCAGUGGCUCAUGCCUGUAAUCCCAGCACUUGGGAGGCAAAGGCGGGUGGAUCAACUGAGGUCAGGAGUUCGAGACCAGCCUGGCCAACAUGGUGAAACCCUGUCUCUACUAAAAAUACAAAAAUUAGCUGGGCAUGGUGGCAGGCGCCUGUAAUCCCAGCUACUUGGGAGGCUGAGGCAGGAGAAUUGCUUGAAACUGGGUGGCGGAGGUUGCAGUGAGCCUAGAUUGCGCCAUUGCACUCUAGUCUUGGGGACAAGAGUGAGACUUCGUCUCCAAAUAAAUAAAUAAAUAAAAAUACAUACCUGAGACUGGGCAAUUUACAAAAGAAAGAGGUUUAAUGGACUUACAGUUCCAUGUGGCUGGGGAGGCCUCACAAUCAUGGUGGAAGGUGAAAGGCAUGUCUCACAUGGUGGCAGACAAGAGAAGAGAGCUUGUGCAGCGAAACUCCCCUUUAUAAACCAGAUCUUAUGAGACUUAUUCACUAUCAUGAGAACAGCACGGGAAAGACCUGCCCUCAUGAUUCAGUUACCUCCCACCAGGUCCCUCCCACAACACGUGGGAAUUCAAGAUGAGAUUUGGUUGGGGACACAGCCAACCCAUAUCACCCAUGCCUGGAUGCCCUUCUCAUGCUUGGGUUCUGUCAUCUGCACCAGGCCUUCUGCUGCCCGUCUGUCUUACCCACCAGGACUCUGACUCUCCACGCUGGGCCACCUCUCUUCUCCAACACUGCUAUGGAUUGAAUGUUUAUGUUCUCCCCAAAUUUGCAUGUUGCAAUCCCAAUCUCCAAUGCCAUAGUAUUAGGAGGUGGGGGCCUUUGGGAGGUGAUUUGGUCAUGAAGGUGGAGUCCUCACAGCUGGGAUGAGUGUCCUUCUAUAAGAGGCUCCAGUGAGCUCCCUCGCCCCUUCCACCAUGUGGGGACACAGCGAGAAGAUGCUGUCUAUGAACCAGGAAACCGGCCCUUGCCAGACACUGAAUCUGCACUUUGAUCUUGGACUUGCAGCCUCCAGAACUGUGAGAAAUAAAUGUCUAUCGUUUAUAAGGCACUCGGUCCAUGGUAUUUUUGUUAAAGCAAUCUAAACGGAC
rnacentral:lncRNA from 10 species